CCCGCCCUGAGCGCUUCCUCCGAAGCACUAUAGCCCAGCCGUGUCUGCAAGCCGAGCCGCGGAACGUGCCCCGACCGAACAGCCCUCCAGAGCCGACCCGAACUCGGGCCGGCAAAGGCAGCCUCUGGGCGGAUGAACCGUUCCGGGCCAGGGAGGCCCGGGAUCCCCGCUCCGCGGUUCACCCGACGGGCUCAGGGCGGUCGGGGCACGCGCCCGGGACCACGUUUCUCCUCCUCUGCUGCUGCGUGACUGCCCCGCACCUGGAGCCCUGCUCGGGGCGGUCUGCACCCUCCAAACACCCCUGCGAGUGCAGGAGGGAUGCCGAGGCAGGAUUUGUCUUGCAGAAUAGCCAGUGCCCCAGACCUGAACCUCGAAUCUGGCUCAGCACAGUUUAAAAUCAGGGAGCAGCUCAAGGAGACCCACUUCUCCAAGACCAGGUUGACAGUGUAAACUGCAGUACCGGCCCUCAAACUCUAAGAGACACUGUACCUGUGCAGCAACCAGAUUCAGAAAUGUGGGCUACAACAAACCACAGCCACGGAUGAAAACAGAAGAGGUGCACGUGUCCAAUCAAGAAUACUUGGAAUACUUAAUUGGACACAUAAUAUAUAUAGUUGCUGGUUGCUCUAAGAGAGCCUCUCUGGAAGCUUCAGCUGAUAAUCCUGACAUGAGACCAGCUGCCUCAAGGUGAGACGUUUUCCUUUUUCACACUCUUCCACCAUGAUGUUUCUGCCACAAGCCCACAAGUGAUGGGGUCCAGCAACCAUGGACUGAAACCAUCAGCCAAAAUAAAUCUUUCCUCUGUUAUUUUUCUCAAGUAUUUUGUCACAGUAAUGGAAAAGUGAUUAACACAGAUAGACUUGUAGCGGCCGUGGCCCUUUCUUCCCCACGAAGAUUCAUAGCUGACAUUUCUACAAAAAAAGCCAAGUUAACAAGUGGAAAGCCGGACACUUUGCCAUACUUUGGGGUAUCGUUCUCUGUGCUCCAUAGAUUUAAGAGACAAGUUCAGUGUCUCAGUCAGCAGAAGGGGGUGAGACCAUCUGGAAGAUGGUACCGAGAUGUAAAAAGGGAAGUAUGGAGGCAGUGAGCAUGAGUUUGGGAUUUAGGACCAGUGGCUGGGAACAGUUCCAGAAGAAACAGUUCCAGGG
rnacentral:lncRNA from 1 species